AACUAAGUUUGUCAUUGGUAUGAGCUUCAUGUGCAUGCACACUUCUUCAGAUACUGAAGAUGUGUCUUCUUCUAUCUGAAGAAGUGUGCGUGCACACGAAAGCUCAAUCCAGUGACAAACUUAGUUGG